rnacentral:rRNA from 1 species
AACGAACGCUGGCGGCAUGCCUAACACAUGCAAGUCGAACGAGACCUUCGGGUCUAGUGGCGCACGGGUGCGUAACGCGUGGGAAUCUGCCCUUGGGUUCGGAAUAACAGUUAGAAAUGACUGCUAAUACCGGAUGAUGACUUCGGUCCAAAGAUUUAUCGCCCAGGGAUGAGCCCGCGUCGGAUUAGCUAGUUGGUGAGGUAAAGGCUCACCAAGGCGACGAUCCGUAGCUGGUCUGAGAGGAUGAUCAGCCACACUGGGACUGAGACACGGCCCAGACUCCUACGGGAGGCAGCAGUGGGGAAUAUUGGACAAUGGGGGCAACCCUGAUCCAGCAAUGCCGCGUGAGUGAUGAAGGCCUUAGGGUUGUAAAGCUCUUUUACCCGGGAUGAUAAUGACAGUACCGGGAGAAUAAGUCCCGGCUAACUCCGUGCCAGCCGCCGCCGUAA